CUAAAACCUUGUCAUCGAGGGCAGAACGAAACCAGAGGGUUUACUAAGCUGUGGCGUCACGUAAACACUGAGCAUCCACUCGACAGCGGAACUUGGUACACAGGUACACCCCAAGCGGCGCUUACACAAGGAUCACAAAGCUAUAUAGGGCAAACAACACCUCUAACUAAGGAGUGCAGGAUGACGUCUGUAUCAACCAUGACGAGCAGCCUGGACAUCGCCCAAGCCACAGAAGCUCUAGAGCGAGACAUGCAUGCGUGGGACCUCUCAGACUCGCCACCGCCUGCGCUGCUAUUCCAGACCCCACCACCUCCUCCCCCCUCUCCUCAGCUGCUGCAGGAUCCUACAGGAUCGGGUCUGUGUGAGGAAACCAUUAUCGACAUCAAGCUUGCAACCCAUCACCUGGUGAUGUUGGCAUUAAACGCCUUUCUACAGGAAACAUGCUAUGGAUGUCGAACAGCUCAACCCAGUCAGGUGCAACACAGCUGUUUGUUCGAACUGCCCGAGUAUUACUUUGACACCUACUACGACGAUGUGAUGCUGAGGCUCAAGACAUUCCGAUUCAUCCCUGCCAUUCGCCUGUUUGUACGCUCGUACACAGACGAUGGGACUAAAACACAAUUCAGCAGAAUUGCAGAACACACCAUGACUGAACUGAGAUCAUCACAACAUAUAGUAUGCGCAAUUAACGACAAUAUUGCACAGUUGCUAGAAGCAAGUCGUUAUGCCCGUCGUGUUAAACCAGC
ensembl:lncRNA